rnacentral:rRNA from 1 species
UGGGGAAUAUUGGACAAUGGGCGAAAGCCUGAUCCAGCCAUGCCGCGUGUGUGAAGAAGGUCUUCGGAUUGUAAAGCACUUUAAGUUGGGAGGAAGGGCAGUAAGCGAAUACCUUGCUGUUUUGACGUUACCGACAGAAUAAGCACCGGCUAACUCUGUGCCAGCAGCCGCGGUAAUACAGAGGGUGCAAGCGUUAAUCGGAAUUACUGGGCGUAAAGCGCGCGUAGGUGGUUCGUUAAGUUGAAUGUGAAAGCCCGGGCUCAACCUGGGAACUGCAUCCAAAACUGGCGAGCUAGAGUAGGGCAGAGGGUGGUGGAAUUUCCUGUGUAGCGGUGAAAUGCGUAGAUAUAGGAAGGAACACCAGUGGCGAAGGCGACCACCUGGGCUCAUACUGACACUGAGGUGCGAAAGCGUGGGGAGCAAACAGG